GCAUUAGGACUAGAAAAGUCUGGAUUCUAACCCAAGCUUUCUGUAGAGAGUUCUUGUGGAUCCAACUACAAAGCCCAUUUGGGCUGGUUUCCUCAUCAGCAAGAAAGGAAUGUCACGACAGUGUUUGAAGACUGUACUGAGGCUUAAAAGGGCACAUGAGAAGUAUCUUGACCAGUGCUAAAGCACAUAUCUGUACAUAAUAAAUUUACAAGUUCCUCUUUGAUAGUUUCAUAGAUUUUAAUCUUUAGUUUCCUCUAGCCAGGAGCUUUAAGAAGCACUAGUUAUAAUAGACUUUACCACAGACAACUUUGAACACAAUUAACAUACUCAUAUCACUUGCCCAGGCCUCAUUCAUAAGAAUUGCCUGCCCUUCCCAACUAUUCAUUAUAAACCCAGUUUCCCAGGCCUCUUCCUAGGUUUUUAAGUGGAUCCAGGACAGGGUCAGGGAAUUUGUGGGUUUAAUAAAUAUCUGAAGUAAUUAUCUUCCAGGAUAAUACUGACAACAGAGUUUGGUUUUAUUUAUGUAGUGCAGGGGACAAAACAACCCCAGGCCUCAUGCAAGCUGGGUAAGUGCUCUACCAUUGAUCUAUAACCACAACCCCAUAACUCAGCUUCUUCAACUUUAAUGGACAAUUUGGCUGUUGUGUUGAAAUGCACAUAAUCAGUGGGUCUGAGAUGGGGCCUAAAAUCAUUCAUUUCUAGCAUGCCCAUGGGGGAUGCAAAAGUUGCUGGUCUGAGGAUGACACUCUGAAAAGGUCAUUAGGGUCUGGGUAACUGGACCAGCAGUUACCUAGUAAGUAUCUUAAAGGUCUUUCUGUGAUUUCACAAGGAGGUGGGAAAAUGAGUUAAACAAAAUGUUAAGCUGUGAGUGGGUAAUUUCUUGUUUUUGCUUGUCAACCUUGACUACACAAGAAACAGUUUUUAAAAAUUAUAGAUGCCUGGGUCCAAACUUCAGAUACAAAUUCCCUAGUGUGGCCAGGAAGGCAGUCCCUGAGCCAGUUUAAAGCUUGUUGAUUCUCAGAAAUUUUAGCCCUGCAUAGGGCCUGCUAAACCAAAAUCCGCAAGUCAUGCUACCUUAUCUCCUGUCACCAAACCAAUCAGUUUUCUCUGAAGGGCUCGGCUGUUGAGUGCCCAAUGUGAUUGCCCCACAUGAGUAGAUAAGUAUCAAUUUUUUAAGAAGUGAUUUCUCCUUAGCUGAACAGCUAUCUCCAGUUCUUGAAUUCUCUGGUUUUCUUAACAAUCUUGAAUCCCCCACUCCCACCCCCAUCCCAACACCCAUUCCAAAAGAGAACUUGUGGCUUCUGUAGGUGGGACCCCAUUGCCCUGACACUGUUAAAGAUUUACUAAAAAGCAAUGCCUUUGACUUUAAGAUGAGCCCUCACAGUUUGUUAGGGAAAUGCUAUACCAGGAAACACAUGUAUAACUACCUACCCCUUGCAUUUAAAAAAAAAAUAGCACCAUGUAGAUGUUGACAAUUUGGUGCAAGAAAUUAUGUUACAGUGGGCACAUCCAUGAGAGCACAAUUGUCUGGAUGUCUGCCCUUUCAUGACCUCCGUAGUGUUAUAGUGAAUGAAUCUUCAUUCUUUCACUUGUUUCAGACUUCAUUUUAUGUAUUCACUCUAAAUUGGUUGCUUAACAGUGAUUGCUGUGGUUCUGAUAUAUAUACUUUGUGGGUUUUCCCUUCAUGGCAAAGGCCGACUUUACUUCAUAGUAUGAUAUCAGUACCAUUAAACUGGCCAUUUCCAUAAUUGCUUUUUAAAAAUAUGAUUCUUAGCACAGUAAAUUUCUCUAAACCAAGAGAAAUAUAUUCUCAGGCAAUUAGAAUCACUGUCAUGGUCCUGUCCCCCAUCUUCUUUUAACUUGUAGUAGAAGAGGAGGAGGUGAGGCUUUUUCUACAUCCCUGAGCCCAGCACUUAUCUAGGAUGCUGUGGACAUAGUUUGAGUAUGUUCCCCAAAAGUUCAUGUGCUGGAAGCUUGGACCCCAAUGUGGUGGUGGUGAAGUAGGGCCUACCACAAAGUGGGUGGAUCUCUGGGGCCACCAGCUUUGAAAGGGAUUAAUGAAGGUCUCUUGGGAUCUCAGUUAUUCUUACAAGAGAGAGCUAUUAUGGUCCUGCCAUUGUGAUGCCAUCUGCCCUCAUCAGAGUCUGAGUGGAUGGAUCAGCUGAUUCUGGACUUUCUGCUUCUAUAACUGCACCUUCUUUAUAAAGUAUCCUGUCUUCGGUAUUUUGUUAUAGCAAAUGGCCUAACAGGUAGGCUAAGGGAAUAUUUAAAGAGAUGCCCCACAUCCCAAAGAAUAUGAAAAUUACUUAAAAUAUUUAAAUCACAGUAACAGCAUAGAGUUCUUGAAUUUGACAAAAAUCUCUCUAAGGAUGAACAGAUCUGAAGGAGUAGGUAAGUGGCAAGGAAACCAGAUAGGAGGCUACUGGGCUCAUCUGGGGGAGAGAUGAUGAUAGAGAUUAAGGGUUCUGGUAGCAGAAAAGUGAUGAGAAUAGGGAGCAUAAAAGUGAUGGGAAUAGAGAGCAUUUUGCAAAUUUGGUGAUUUUGCAUGUGUGUGUGUG
rnacentral:lncRNA from 1 species